CGAGUUUGAUCAUGGCUCAGGAUGAACGCUAGCGGCAGGCUUAAUACAUGCAAGUCAAGGGGGUAGCAAUACAACCGGCGCACGGGUGAGUAACGCGUACACAACAUACCAUAUACUGGGGUAUAGCUUCGGGAAACUGGAGAUAAUCCCCCAUAACAUUGCGAGAGGGCAUCUGAUUGCAAUUAAAGUUUCGACGGUAUAUGAUUGGUGUGCGUUUGAUUAGCUUGUUGGUAGGGUAACGGCCUACCAAGGCGACGAUCAAUAGCUGGCGUGAGAGCGCGACCAGCCACACUGGAACUGAGACACGGUCCAGACUCCUACGGGAGGCAGCAGUAGGGAAUAUUGGACAAUGGGCGAAAGCCUGAUCCAGCCAUGCCGCGUGAUAGAUGAAGGCCCUCUGGGUUGUAAAUAUCUUUUAUCUGGGAAGAAACUCCUCUAUUCUUAGAGGCCUGACGGUACCAGAGGAAUAAGCACCGGCUAACUCCGUG
rnacentral:rRNA from 1 species